UCAGUUGAGGCCAGGAGUUCGAGACCAGCCUGGCCAACAUGGACUCUGGUGGAAAAGGAGCUCUGCCCUGUACAGUCUCCUAAACAGAUGACAUUAGCUGGACUAUGAAUAGGCCAAGAGAAAUUCUUUGGCCCUUCUAGCUUCAGGUCGAGGCACUAAGGAUGCAGCAGGAAACAGCACAGACAAGGGCCCUGUUGUCAAAGACCUUCCACUAUAUUGGGUAAUGUUGGGACUCAGAAACUGAUACCCCAAGAUACGGUGCUUUGACAUGCUGAACUGAAGAGGAAGCCUCAACAUCCAUCUGACCUUUCCCACGCACUUCCUGUCUCUCAAUCCUCUGUCUCUCCCAAAGCACAGGAUGAAGUUGUUUUCUGAAGUUCCCUUAUUUACCUAAAGUCUAAACUCAUUAAAGAAGAAAACAAUUA